AACGAACGCUGGCGGCGUGUUUAAGACAUGCAAGUCGCACGGGAUCGGUUGAGUAGCAAUAUGAUUCCAGUCCAGUGGCGCACGGGUGAGUAACAUGUGAAUUACAUGCCCUUCAGUGGGGAAUAGCCCAGGGAAACUUGGAUUAAUACCCCAUGGUAUCGCAAGAUUAAAGGUGGCCGCAAGGCUGUCGCUGAAGGAUUGGUUCGCACCCUAUCAGCUUGUUGGUGAGGUAAUGGCUCACAAAGGCUACGACGGGUACCUGGUCUGAGAGGACGAUCAGGCACACUGGAACUGAGACACGGUCCAGACACCUACGGGUAGCAGCAGUCGAGAAUAAUUCACAAUGGGGGCAACCCUGAUGGUGCAACGCCGCGUGGAGGAUGACGGUCUUCGGGUUGUAAACUCCUGUCAUCCGGGAGUAAGGCAUGGAUGUUAACAGCAUACAUGAUUGAUAGUACCGGAAGAGGAAGGGACGGCUAACUUCGUGCCAGCCGCCGCCGUAACAC
rnacentral:rRNA from 1 species